GUGCCUUCUUAAGGUUGACACAGUACUUUAAGAGGCUAACACAGAGGGUAAAGGAAACCUCCAUAAAACCCAGAGAAGAAGCUGGGCAUAUGCCUGUAAUCCCAGUG
ensembl:snoRNA